AACAUGGCUUAAUGAAUAUUUUUAUAUUAAGUUUAACCUGCUCAAUGAUAAUUUUAUUAAAUAGCCGCAGUAUUUUGACUGUGCGAAGGUAGCAUAAUCAUUUGUCUUUUAAUUGAAGGCUUGUAUGAAUGGUUGGAUGAGGGAAUGACUUUCUUUAUAUUAAAUAAUUGAAUUUAAUUUUUAAGUUAAAAAGCUUAAAUUUAUAAAAGGGACGAGAAGACCCUAUAGAAUUUUAUUUUAUUAUUGAUAUUUUGUUUAGGUUAAUUUAUUAAAUAUUAAUAAUAAAAUUUUGUUGGGGUGACAGUGAGAUUUAAAUAACUCUUAUAAUUAAUAUUUUUGUUUAUUGACAUAUUAUAGAUCCUAUUUUAAGGAUAUUUAGAUUAAAUUACCUUAGGGAUAACAGCGUAAUUUUUCUGGAGAGUUCAUAUCGAUAGAGGAGAUUGCGACCUCGAUGUUGGAUUAAAAUUAAAUUUAAGUGCAGAAGCUUAAUUUUUAGGUCUGUUCGACCUUUAAAGUUUUACAUGA
rnacentral:rRNA from 1 species